AUGGACAAGCUCGCCGUCGACUGCCGCAACGCAGAUCCGCCACCUCCGCUUCCCCCGGACGACCUCCUCCUGGAGAUCCUAGUCCGCCUCCCGCCCGAGCCGAUCCACCUCUUUCGCGCUUCCUUCGUCUGCAAGCACUGGCGCGGCCUCGUCCACGACGCCUGCUUCCUUCGCCGCUUCCGGGAUUUCCACGGUGGCACGCCUCCCGUGCUCGGCUUCUUCAACGAGGAAGGGCCUCCCUUCUUCGUCCCUACCUCCGGCGGCUUCGCGCCCUCCGCAGCCACCGUGUCCCCCGGUGACUGGUGGGCCCUCGACUGCCGCCACGGCCGCGCCCUCCUGGACAUCUGCAGCAUCGGGACGCUGCUCGUCUGGGAACCCAUGACCGGCGACAAGCGCUACCUGUCGCCCCCCGCGCAGGUCUCUCAUGGGAGCUUCGAGUACAAUACCGCAGUUCUGUGCGCAGCUAGCCACACCGACCACGGCGACUGCCAUUCCUGCCCUUUUCUCGUGGCGUUCGUGUUCAGUGACGACAAAGAUUUCAUCACUUACGCAUGCGUCUUCUCGUCCGAGACCAGUGUCUGGGGUGAGAUCGCUUCCAUUGUUAUACCAGAUGCAUUAGUUCAGCGAAGGCAGACAGCUCUGGUUGGAAACACAAUCUACUUCGUGUUGGAUGACGAUGUCAUCAUUAAGUUUGAUUUGGAUAAGCAUAGGCUGGGCCUAACUGAGGACUUCCCAUCUGACACUCUAGAAAGCUACUAUCGACAGGUUGUCAUCAUGCCGACAGAGGAUGGAUGGCUUGGUUUGGCUGGAAUCGAAGGAUUCAAUCUCCAUCUAUGGUCAAAGGUGUCGAGCGUUGACGGGGUGGUAACAUGGACACAUCAAAGGGUCAUUGAUCUCAAAAAGCUUCUUCCGCCGGAAAUAGUGGUGGCAUGUAUGGUUCGAGAUCUUGGAGCGGAGGCAGUUGCCUAUGCGGAAGAUGCUGAUGUGAUCUUCAUUGUUGUGUGUCGUACCAUAUACAUGAUCCAUCUCAAGUCGAUGAAGGUCAAGAAGAUCUCAGAGAGAUUGAUCAACACAAACAUUUUUCCUUACACAAGUUUCUAUGCUCCAGCCACCGAACCCAUGGAAGCAGGGACGAUCUCGCCGGCGGCCGCCGCUGCACUGCUUCUCCCGGACGACCUCCUCCUGGAGAUCCUCCUCCGCCUCCCGCCAGAGCCCAUCUACCUCUUUCGCGCCUCCUUUGUCUCCAAGCACUGGCGUGGCCUCGUCCACGACGCGGGCUUCCUCCGCCGCUUCCAUGAGUUCCACGGAAAGACGCCACCGGUCCUUGGAUUCUUCCACAACCAGCCACGGCCUCAACGGUUUGUCCCUGUCUCCGACGGUUUCACGCUCCCCACCGCCACGAUGUCCCACAACCACUGGUGGAUCCUCAACUGCCGCCACGGCCGCGCCCUCCUUUUUGACUGCGAGGAAUUCGAAACGCUCCUCGUCUUGGACCUCGUGACCGGCGACAAGCGCUACCUUCCGCUCCCACCGGCCUAUGAAGCUGACCGGCAUUGGCACUACAAUGGCACGGUUCUCCGCGCACCAACCCACGGCGACCGCCACCCUCGCCCGUUCCUUGUUGCGUUUGUGUUCAAUAACCAGGCAGAUUUCAUCUCCGCCUGCGUGUACUCCUCCGAGACCGGCGUAUCGAUUCAUGUUGUACCAUAUUCGUUAGUUCAGUUCCGGCCGCCAGCUCUGAUUGGAAACAACCUCUACUUGUUGAGUCACAGUAGCAUUAUUGUGUUUGAUUUGGAUAACCAUAGGUUGGAUCAAAUUGAGGAUGUGCCAUUUAGCGAGGAGACUAUCAUCAUGCAAACAAAAGAUGGACUUUUUGGUCUUGCCGGACUUGGUGAAUUCAAGCUCCAUCUGUGGUCAAGGAGACUUCUUGCAACAGAAGUAGUAGCGGCGGCACCUACGGUUCUAAUGAAGCUGAUCGGCUAUGCUGAAGAUGCUGAUGUUAUUUUCAUUGGUGUGUAUUGUAGCAUCUACAUGAUCCAUCUCAAGUCCAUGCAGAUUGAGGAGGCGUCGGCCAAGGUGCCCUACGUAUAUGUUUAUCCUUACGCAAGUUUCUACACUCCUGCAGUUACCAAAGAUGUAUUGUCAUCAUGCCAACAGAGGAUGGAUGGCUUGGUAUGGCGGGAGUCGAGGAUUCAAUCUCCUUCUAUGGUCAAAGAUAUUAUCUCAUUCUCAAGCAAGCUCAAAAGGACUCUCGUCUCACCGGGGCAGGGCAAAGGGGAUGGACUCCGAUCAGACAUCGCAACCGCCGCCGCCGCCGCAAGGUCUGUCAUCUGUCUCUGUCUCUCUCUCCCAUCGAUUCCCAAGCCAAUUCGAUUGCUGACCAAGCCUGCCUGGAACUUGGUAGCAGCAGCAACACCAGAUGCCGGCGGCGGUGAGAAGCAGCUGGCCUUGGAGGCGCCGCCACAGCCGGCGAGAGAGGACUACGUCCAGAAUGCCGUCAAGUUCCUCUCCCACCCCGAGGUCAGGGGCUCUACUGUCGUCUACCGCCAUUCCUUCCUCCAGAACAAGGGCCUCACCAAUGAUGAGAUCGACGAGGCCUUCCGACGAGAUCCACAGCUCACCACCGCUUCGCCUUCCACACACAACCUUGACCGAUGUUACUACUACAAGGGAGUAACAAGAAACCGGAUGAAACCGUUGACCUCCCACCCACCCGCGGACACACUUCCGCCCCCGGCACCCAUGGACGAGCUCGCCAUCGAUCCGCCUCCUCCGCUCCCACUGGACGACAUGCUCAUGGAGAUCUUCCUCCGCCUCCCACCGGAGCCCAUUCACCUCUUCUGCGCCUCCUUUGUCUCCAAGCACUGGCGCGGCCUCAUCCAUGAUGCCCGUUUCCUCCGCCGCUUCAGUGAGUUCCACGGCAAGACGCCUCCCAUCCUCGGCUUCUUCACCAACGAGACACGCACACCCCUCUUCGCCCCCACCUCCGACGGCUUCACGCUCUCCACCUCCACCAUGUCCCACAGGGACUGGUGGGUGCUCGACUGCCGCCGCGGCCGUGCCCUCGUGGACAACCUGCGCACGGGGACGCUCCUUGUCUGGGACCUCAUGACCGGCCACAAGCGCUUCGUGACACUCCCCACGCAGGCCUGUCACGGGCAGUUAAGGUGCAGCGGCACGGUUCUCUGCGCCGCUGGCCAUGCCGACCACGACUGUCAUUCGUGCCCGUUCCUUGUGGCGUUCCUGAGGAGUGACUACACAGAUUCCAUCACCUCCGCCUGGCUCUACUCUUCCGAGACCGGCAUUUGGGGUGAGAUCACUUCAAUUCAUACACAAAAUUCAUAUGUUUAUGCAGAGCAGACGGCUCUGGUUGGAAACACACUCUACUACCUGUUGAAUCAUGGUGGGAUCAUUGGAUUUGAUUUCGAUAAAAAUAGCUUGGAUUUAGUUGAGGCCGUGCCAUAUAGCUACUCUAAGAUUAUCAUCAUGCCAGCAGAGGAUGGACUUCUUGGUUUGGCCGGAGUUGAUGGAUUUAGUCUCCAUUUGUGGUCAAGGGUAGUAGCUAGCAUUGAUGGGGCAGUAUCGUGGACACGUUGUAGGGUCAUUGAUCUGGAGAAGCUUAUUGCGCCGGAAAUACUGGCAGCGUGUAUUGUGCCAGUGGAGCCAGCUGCCUAUGCUGAAGAUGCUCAUGUGAUCUUCAUUUAUGUGAACCAUGGCAUGCGCAUGUACAUGAUACACCUCAGGUCCAUGCGGAUCGAGGAAGUGUCACGGAAAGGGGCCUGCCGGUCAGGUUUUCCUUACACAAGUUUCUACACUCCAGGAAUCACCACUGGUGGUGGAGAUGAUCAAGCCGAACUGCUGAACAUCAGUUGA
rnacentral:rRNA from 1 species